rnacentral:rRNA from 1 species
CCAAUAGCGUAUAUUAAAGUUGCUGCAGUUAAAAAGCUCGUAGUUGAAUUUCGGGAUCAUCAUGUCGGUCGUGCCUCGGUACGUACUGGCAUUGUUGGUUUCUACCUUCUGACGAACCAUGAUGUCAUUUAUUUGGUGUCGUGGGAAAUCAGGACUGUUACUUUGAAAAAAUUAGAGUGUUUAAAGCAGGCUCACGCUUGAAUACAUUAGCAUGGAAUAAUGAAAUAGGACGUUUGAUUCUAUUUUGUUGGUUUCUAGGAUCGACGUAAUGAUUAAUAGGGAUAGUUGGGGGCAUUAGUAUUCAAUUGUCAGAGGUGAAAUUAUUGGAUUUAUUGAAGACUAACUACUGCGAAAGCAUUUGCCAAGGAUGUUGUCAUUAAUCAAGAACGAAAGUUAGGGGAUCGAAGACGAUCAGAUACCGUCGUAGUCUUAACCAUAAACUAUGCCGACUAGGGAUCGGAUGAUGUUAAUUUUUUAAUGACUCAUUCGGCGCCUUACGGGAAACCAAAGUGUUUGGGGUUC